GGGGAUUUAGCUCAGCGGCAUAAGCGCCUGCCUUGCAAGCAGGCAGCCGUGAGUUCGAUGUUCAAUCCCCG
rfam:Cavia porcellus supercont2_193 genomic scaffold, whole genome shotgun sequence.